rnacentral:rRNA from 1 species
CCUACGGGGGGCAGCAGUAGGGAAUCUUCCACAAUGGACGAAAGUCUGAUGGAGCAACGCCGCGUGAGUGAUGAAGGUUUUCGGAUCGUAAAACUCUGUUGUAAGGGAAGAACAAGUACGAGAGGUAAUGCUCGUACCUUGACGGUACCUUGCGAGAAAGCCACGGCUAACUACGUGCCAGCAGCCGCGGUAAUACGUAGGUGGCAAGCGUUGUCCGGAAUUAUUGGGCGUAAAGCGCGCGCAGGCGGCCUUUUAAGUCUGAUGUGAAAGCCCCCGGCUCAACCGGGGAGGGUCAUUGGAAACUGGAAGGCUUGAGUACAGAAGAGAAGAGUGGAAUUCCAUGUGUAGCGGUGAAAUGCGUAGAGAUGUGGAGGAACACCAGUGGCGAAGGCGACUCUUUGGUCUGUAACUGACGCUGAGGCGCGAAAGCGUGGGGAGCAAACAGGAUUAGAUACCCACGUAGUCC